GCCAUUUAAUGGCCUGUAAACCCCUUUGCUGAAGAAAGAACAGGCAAUUAGCAUACUGAGUGGAUUACAAGAUUGCUCUGACUCCUGGAUUAAUGUGUGCACUUAAUCUUCUCUUUGCUAAGCGAUUCUUGGAUAUACAGCUAUUCAAGGGAGACAAAUUUCCCCACCUUCCAAAACACAACAUGCAAAAGGAUUUCUUCCAUGAUGGCAUCAAAACCGAGGUGGAUAUAGGGAUGAGGAGAAGUGGUGCUCCAGUCAGCCCACAGUGUGGGCCACCAGAGGGCAAUGAGGCGUGAGGAGGCACUCAGAAGGUAGUGGUCAGUAGCACGGAUAGACAUUCCAGAGCAAAGGUCAAGCUCAUCAAACAGGAGCAUCUGUCUGGGGCUGGAUUGUCUUCAGUGAUUGAAUGCUGCCUUGUCCUGGAGGAGGCAAGAUCAUUUAACUGCUAUUCUCUUCAGUUCCCUAUGGGAACUCUUUUUUGUGUGUGUCCUGCCUGCCUCAUUGUGUAUACAGCCCUUAAAUUAUAUUUAUGGGUAAAGCCUACAGUGGGAUGUUGUGACGAUAACACAAGCUGCAGAGUGACAGUAAGAAAUAUGGCAGGGAAUUAAGUCAAGAUUGCAGUGUUAAGAGGGUCAUGUCUACAUGGGGGCUGACUUUCAUCAUAGCUAAUAAGAAAUUGUGAAGAAAAAAGUAAGAUGCAGAACUAACUGUAAACAUGAAUAUUUUAGCCUAAAUGAACCAAAGCUACAUAUACUACAAGGACUAUAGCCCCCAAUGUGAGACUAUAAAAAAAAUGAAUAUAUAUUUGCUUUAAGUGCCAUAAAAAAAAAGGCAUAUUACGAACAUUAACGGGCUUUUUUUCUUAAAUCAUGAAUUUCAGUCCAAUGUUUCAGGUUAAUUUACCAUUCAGAUUAUACAAAUAAUUGAACACAAGUUUAAGAUGUGUAGUUUCAUUUGUGGUGCACAAGGUUAUGAACUGUUAAAAUGGGUUCAGCCCUAAUGUUCAAGAUACUUUUUUGUUGUUCAGUUUCACGCAACAUAUUUUAUUACAGGUGUGCUUGGGCAUCCAUAGAUUAAUUGAGAUUUUUAGCAGUAACAAAGGAAAGAUCAAUUAAUGCUCACCAUGUGGUUACCAGAGCAGAUGGCAGGCUCCAGUUAGGUGAGGCAGAGAAAGUAAAAUGAUCUAUAAGUAGUAGGAGAGCAGGUGUCAGCUUGCUGUGAGGGUGUAGGAAAUAGCUUUUGAUUUCUUUUUAUUUUGUUUUGGCUUCUCCCCUUUAAAUAUUUCAUUAAUUUUGUCUAACUCCCUGCGGUCUGUCUUUUCUUAUUUCAUUAACACUUUUGUUAAUAAACACCACACUCUUUUUGCCUGGACUCCUGGCAGUGCUUCCUUUUUAACAUGCCCUUCAUGUUUUCCAAUGCCAGCCAACAUCUAGCUGAAACACACAAACAUACCACGUGACUUCAAGUGACAACUGGUGGAUUACACAUAAAAAACAUUCAUAACACAUUGAUGGAUACUAGUUAAAGUCUAAACUUAAUAACAAAAACAAAAUUAGUACGCAUGUAUAGCCAGCUAGUGCUGAAACAAUUACUCAGACAAUUGAUUAUUUGAUCUACAGAAAAUUAAAAAGAACUUAUGAUAAUUGAUUCAUAGUAAUUAAAAAUCCUUUUGUUUGGAAAAAUGCCAAACACUUGUUAGUUUUGGCCUAUCUAAUAUGAGGAUUUAUUAUUUCCUCAACUUGAAAAUAGGAACCUUUGAUGAGUAUUUUUCACUAUUUUCUUAUAAAUUAUAGGCAAAAACGAUUAAUCAAGAAUAAAUAGGCGAUUAAUCAACAAUGAAAACAUUUGCUAGUUGAAACCAAGCAAGUUCGAAAUAAUAAUUCAAGGUUGACAGUCCUUGACCUGAUAGAUUUUCACUACCUGUGAUGUUAUUCCAUGCUACACACAACACUGAAGGUAUAACAGAGCACAACAUAAACGAAACAUAUAUUAAAAUGCAGGGACUUGUAUAUUUUAUGUUAACAUGGAGCACAGAUUCUCGGUAGAGACUGACUGACUCAGCAGUGACUUAUGUACAUUUGCAGUAAGUUAUGCAGCCAAAUACACACAUUUCCCCCUCCUUGAAAAAUUAGAAAGUUCAUCCAACCUAAACAGAUACAACUGGAUUUCUAACCAUUUUUCUGACUUACAUAUAUUUUUCAUUUGGACUAGUUUCAACCAAUAUUUGUGAAAGUGAGUAACUCUUCCUAAGCCGGUAAACAAAAUAACCAAGACUGUAAUAUGUGAUGUUAUCAAAAGGCAUUGCCUACAGCUCCACCAUUGACUAUAGUUUGGAGACCGAGCAUUUGUUUGAGCUUUUGCUAAACUUUUUAAGCUUUUACAAAUGUUAACUAAAAAUAUCUCUGGUACUAUCAGGAGGCAAUCAGCAGGACCAAAAUUCAAGAGCAGUGGCUCACAGGCUAAGUAUGAAUUUGUGCCAUCUUACCGUAGAAAACUGUGUGUCACACUGAAUCGAACUGAAAUCACCAGUGGUUUACUCAGUAAUGCUGCAAAUUCUCAGUGCAUUGCUGCUGCCAUUUUGACUUUUUGAUUGCCACAUUCAGAGUCACCCUUUUUAAAAAUAUCUUUCAUUCCCAUUGGAGCUCUCAAGGACUACAAGAAACCAUACUGGUAUAGGUCACUGGAAAAACAUUUGGGUUCCAAUAAUUCAGUGGCAAAUAUAUUCUGUUUUAGCACAUAAAAACUCUAAAACUGUUUUCUGCACACUAUGGACACACACCUUUGUAUUCUGCUUAUAAUUUUCCUUCCAAACUCCUCCCCAUCUCUUCUUCUUCUUCUUUCUCUUCAUCUAUUGGUUCUUGGCUCUGGCCACUGCAUAUCAGGUCUGGGCACAGACUAACCGUAUGCCCCACAGGCUCAGUAGGACUCCAGCAAUCUGAGGGCAGCACAUUACCCAAGACAUACUUUAGUGUGGCACAGCAGCCUGAAUGCCAUGUCCGCAGAGAGAGAGAGAAAGAGAAACCACUGGCGUUUGGCCCAUCGUCUGCUUUCAGCAGGUUUUUGGCUCUGUGAAAUCAUUUCGCACCACUAAUGAUGUCCUUUCACAUCUAAUGAUCCAUCCAAGAUCUGUUGGAUAGCCACAGGGAGCAUGUACGCAUAGAGGUCAUGAAUAACCUGGUUGCUAAAGAAUAAGUCUAUCAUUUCAAUUUUGAGUUGUAUUAAAGAUUCCAGCAAGAGACUUAAAGGUAAAGCUUUGAAUUCAGACAUAACUUUGCACUAAAACACAAACGUGUAGAAGCAGGACUGCAUAAAAGUUUGAUGAACUAGGUCAUGAAAUAUGAAAUGGGCGUUAAUAGGUUGCCUUUGGGUGGACCAAGCAUGUAAGUGAGGUGAGUCUCCCUCCUGAAGAAACAACUUACA